GUAAUUUCCUGUUAUUCUUCGGUUUGCCUCCUCCCAGUGGCGUGGAUUUGCUCCCGACCCGUUUUUGGGGCGUGCCUGCUUCCUCCUGUCUGUUAGAUGAGGCCCAGAGAGGCGAAGCCACUUGAGCUCGUGAGUGACAGUCAGAUCUCAAGCCCUGCUCUUUCUAAAGCGUGCUGCCUUCAGAAAAGAAGAGCCAGAAGGAUGGAAAUUACUUUAGAAAGAUGAAUACCAGCUUUGAAGGAAUAAAAGCUGAUGAGGAAUUGAAGGAGUUGAGGCACAAGCUUGAACAGGGUUGCAUAUUUGGCCCUUGAUUGUAAAUGCCCAUUGCUGCACCUGUUCCUGUUACUUGGGGAGUUGCAGCAGAAGGAACAGUGGCCUGGGACUCCAGAGAACUGGGUUCCCUUUCAUCCCUCCAGGGCCACCACUUCUUGUGGGCCCUUGGGCAAGUCACUGUACUUUCUGAGUCUCCGUUUCCCCAUUUGCAGAAUGGAAAUAACUACCCCGGUCUACCAACUUAGAAGAAUUGCUUUGAGGAUCUGAUAAGGUGGUGUGGAUGAUGCUGCCUUGGGGGCUUUACAGUCUGGAGCUCAAGGGACCCCUUAAGUUGGGCUUACUUAGUAACUCCAGGGGUGGGCAGAACAGGACUCCAAUGAGGGUUUUUUUAUUUUUCCCUUUUUUUUCUUUUCCUAUCUCUUAACUUUUAUCUUUACUAUUUUACAAUGCCCUUGUAAGAUGAAACAAGUGAUGCUGAAAUUUUUUUUUCUUUUUUAACCUUUAUUUUAGAAUUGGGGUACAUGUGCAGGUUUGUUACAUAGGUAUAGUGUGGGCUGCUGAGGUUUGGAGUACGAAUGAAUUAGUCACCCCAGUGGUGAGCAUAGUGCCCGAUAAGUAGUUUUUUCAACCCUUACUCCCAUCCCUCUCCAUUCUUGUGUUCCCCAGUGUCUGCUGUUCCUGUUUUUAUGACCAUGUGUACUCAAUGUUUAGCUCCCACUUAGAAGUAAGAACAUGCCCAGCACUUUGGGAGGCCGAGGUGGGUGGAUCAUGAGGUCAAGAGAUCGAGACCAUCUUGGCUAACACAGUGAAACCCCGUCUCUACUAAAAACAUAAAAAAUUGGCCGGGUGUGGUGGUGGGCACCUGUAGUCCUAGCUACUCGGGAGGCUGAGACAGGAGAAUCGCCUGAACCGGGGAGGUGGAGGUUGCAGUGAGCUGAGAUUGUACCACUGCACUCCAGCCUGGGUGACAGAGUGAGACUCCAUCUCAAAAAAAUAAAAAUAAAAAAAUAAAAAGAAUGUGGUGUAUGA